rnacentral:sRNA from 1 species
UGAGGCGAAAGGCAGUGCGCCCGUGCCAGCA